rnacentral:rRNA from 1 species
UCGGGAAUUUUGGGCAAUGGGCGAAGGCCUGACCCAGCAACGCCGCGUGAGGGAUGAAGUAUUUCGGUAUGUAAACCUCGAAAGAAUGGGAAGAAUAAAUGACGGUACCAUUUAUAAGCUCCGGCUAACUACGUGCCAGCAGCCGCGGUAAUACGUAGGGAGCAAGCGUUGUUCGGAUUUACUGGGCGUAAAGGGCGCGUAGGCGGCGCGGUAAGUCACUUGUGAAAUCUCUGAGCUUAACUCAGAACGGCCAAGUGAUACUGCUGUGCUAGAGUGCGGAAGAGGCCACCGGAAUUCUUGGUGUGGCGGUGAAAUGCGUAGAUAUCAAGAGGAACACCUGAGGCGAAGGCGGGUUGCUGGGCCGACACUGACGCUGAUGCGCGAAAGCCAGGGGAGCAAACG